UACUUGCGGAGGGAUCAUUACCGAGUUUACAACUCCCAAACCCCUGUGAACAUACCACUUGUUGCCUCGGCGGAUCAGCCCGCUCCCGGUAAAACGGGACGGCCCGCCAGAGGACCCCUAAACUCUGUUUCUAUAUGUAACUUCUGAGUAAAACCAUAAAUAAAUCAAAACUUUCAACAACGGAUCUCUUGGUUCUGGCAUCGAUGAAGAACGCAGCAAAAUGCGAUAAGUAAUGUGAAUUGCAGAAUUCAGUGAAUCAUCGAAUCUUUGAACGCACAUUGCGCCCGCCAGUAUUCUGGCGGGCAUGCCUGUUCGAGCGUCAUUUCAACCCUCAAGCACAGCUUGGUGUUGGGACUCGCGUUAAUUCGCGUUCCCCAAAUUGAUUGGCGGUCACGUCGAGCUUCCAUAGCGUAGUAGUAAAACCCUCGUUACUGGUAAUCGUCGCGGCCACGCCGUUAAACCCCAACUUCUGAAUGUGACCUCGGAUCAGGUAGAUGCCCGUUCU
rnacentral:rRNA from 1 species